rnacentral:rRNA from 1 species
CCUACGGGAGGCAGCAGUGAGGAAUAUUGGUCAAUGGACGAGAGUCUGAACCAGCCAAGUAGCGUGAAGGAUGACUGCCCUAUGGGUUGUAAACUUCUUUUAUAUGGGAAUAAAAUGUUCCACGUGUGGGAUUUUGUAUGUACCAUAUGAAUAAGGAUCGGCUAACUCCGUGCCAGCAGCCGCGGUAAUACGGAGGAUCCGAGCGUUCUCCGGAUUUAUUGGGUUUAAAGGGAGCGUAGGUGGAUUGUUAAGUCAGUUGUGAAAGUUUGCGGCGCAACCGUAAAAUUGCAGUUGAAACUGGCAGUCUUGAGUACAGUAGAGGUGGGCGGAAUUCGUGGUGUAGCGGUGAAAUGCUUAGAUAUCACGAAGAACUCCGAUUGCGAAGGCAGUUCACUGGACUGCAACUGACACUGAGGCUCGAAAGUGUGGGUAUCAAACAGGAUUAGAUACCCGGGUAGUC